rnacentral:lncRNA from 1 species
CACUUGCCGUUUGCUUUUUUGACUAGGACGACGUUGGAAAUCCAAUCAGGAUAAUUGACUUCCUUAAUGAAUCCAGCUUUAAGGAGCUUGUCCACUUCUUCGACUAUCGCCUUCUGCCUCUCCGGUGCAUGACUUCGAAUUUUUUCUUUCGUCGGUCGAUGCUUUGGAUCGACGGCCAGGCGAUGCUCCAUGACUUCCGUAUCAAUCCUUGGCAUAUCUGCUGGAACCCAAGCAAAAACGUCCGCAUUCCUUCGUAGAAAAUCAAUGAGAC